GAUGAGUAUCACGUGGUGGACCGUGUCGCCCAUGGGACAACAUCGCCUGGAGAACAAUCGCCUAGCAGGAAAUGUUACCUGUAGAUAUGAUUCAUAUGGUUGUUAAAGAGAGUUUUCCAGGAGGGACAACACUAGGAACUUUCCAGAUAUGUGGUGUAUAGGGAUGCUAUACAUACAGUGGGUAUUUUGGAAAAACUGGCAUUUAGUAGGACUACACUCUAAGAGUCUAUCUUUUGUAAGCCUAUGUGUUGUAAUAAUUUGUAACAAGUCCGAUGUAAUAAGUAUUAAUUUUUUAAUAUUUUCCUUUGUUCUUUAAUAUGAAUUAUUUAAAUAAAUUAAUAAGAAAAGUGAUUCACCCCUCUCUUACUCUAAGUAGAAU